rnacentral:rRNA from 1 species
AUACGGAGGGUGCAAGCGUUACUCGGAAUUAUUGGGCGUAAAGCGAGUCUAGGCGGCUUGUUAAGUCAGAUGUGAAAAUGCGGGGCUCAACUCCGUAUUGCGUUUGAAACUGGCAGGCUAGAGUACUGGAGAGGUGGGCGGAACUACAAGUGUAGAGGUGAAAUUCGUAGAUAUUUGUAGGAAUGCCGAUAGUGAAGACAGCUCACUGGACAGAUACUGACGCUAAAGCUCGAAAGCGUGGGGAGCGAACAGGAUUAGAAACCCUAGUAGUCC